rnacentral:rRNA from 1 species
GGAAUUUUCCGCAAUGGGCGAAAGCCAGACGGAGCAACGCCGCGUGAGGGAUGAAGGCCUCUGGGCUGUAAACCUCUUUUAUCAAGGAAGAAGAUCUGGCGGUACUUGAUGAAUAAGCCACGGCUAAUUCCGUGCCAGCAGCCGCGGUAAUACGGGAGUGGCAAGCGUUAUCCGGAAUUAUUGGGCGUAAAGCGUCCGCAGGCGGCCCUUCAAGUCUGCUGUUAAAAAGUGGAGCUUAACUCCAUCAUGGCAGUGGAAACUGUUGGGCUUGAGUGUGGUAGGGGCAGAGGGAAUUCCCGGUGUAGCGGUGAAAUGCGUAGAUAUCGGGAAGAACACCAGUGGCGAAGGCGCUCUGCUGGGCCAUCACUGACGCUCAUGGACGAAAGCCAGGGGAGCGAAAGGGAUUAGAUACCCCAGUAGUC